rnacentral:rRNA from 1 species
CCUACGGGCGGCAGCAGUGAGGAAUAUUGGUCAAUGGGCGCAAGCCUGAACCAGCCAAGUCGCGUGAGGGAUGACGGUCCUAUGGAUUGUAAACCUCUUUUGUCGGGGAGCAAGGCCCGCCACGUGUGGCGGGAAGGAGAGUACCCGAAGAAAAAGCAUCGGCUAACUCCGUGCCAGCAGCCGCGGUAAUACGGAGGAUGCCAGCGUUAUCCGGAUUUAUUGGGUUUAAAGGGUGCGUAGGCGGAAGGUUAAGUCAGCGGUAAAAUGUCGGUGCUCAACACCGGCCUGCCGUUGAAACUGGUCUUCUUGAGUGAGCGAGAAGUAUGCGGAAUGCGGGGUGUAGCGGUGAAAUGCAUAGAUAUCACGCAGAACUCCGAUUGCGAAGGCAGCAUACCGGCGCUCAACUGACGCUGAGGCACGAAAGCGUGGGGAUCGAACAGGAUUAGAUACCCUUGUAGUC